UUCCAAGGUGAUCCCCUCUCCAAUGGGCCAGCUAGUGCUCCCCAAGCUCCCAGAAACAUAGCAACUCAGGAUAAUAUCUGGUAUGCCCAAGGUCUGUGAGGGUAAAGUGAUUUUUUUUUUGACUUAUGACUGCCUACAUAU